rnacentral:lncRNA from 1 species
AGACAGGGCCAACAGCAACAGUCUAGUCUACAGGGACAAGGCCAACAGUCUAGUCUACAGGGACAAGGCCAACAGUCUAGUCUACAGAGACAAGGCCAACAGUCUAGUAAGGCCAACAGUCUAGUCUACAGAGACAAGGCCAACAGUCUAGUCUACAGGGACAAGGCCAACAGUCUAGUCUACAGGGACAAGGCCAACAGUCUAGUCUACAGGGACAAGGCCAACAGUCUAGUCUACAGGGACAAGGCCAACAGUCUAGUCUACAGGGACAAGGCCAACAGUCUAGUCUACAGGGACAAGGCCAACAGUCUAGUCUACAGGGACAAGGCCAACAGUCUAGUCUACAGGGACAAGGCCAACAGUCUAGUCUACAGGGACAAGGCCAACAGUCUAGUCUACAGGGACAAGGCCAACAGUCUAGUCUACAGGGACAAGGCCAACAGUCUAGUCUACAGAGACAAGGCCAACAGUCUAGUCUACAGAGACAAGGCCAACAGUCUAGUCUACAGAGACAAGGCCAACAGUCUAGUCUACAGAGACAAGGCCAACAGUCUAGUCUACAGGGACAAGGCCAACAGUCUAGUCUAUAGAGACAGGGCCAACAGUCUAGUCUACAGAGACAGGGCCAACAGUCUAGUCUACAGAGACAAGGCCAACAGUCUAGUCUACAGGGACAAGGCCAACAGUCUAGUCUAUAGAGACAGGGCCAACAACAACAGUCUAGUCUACAGGGACAAGGCCAACAGUCUAGUCUACAGGGACAAGGCCAACAGUCUAGUCUACAGGGACAAGGCCAACAGUCUAGUCUACAGAGACAAGGCCAACAGUCUAGUCUACAGGGACAAGGCCAACAGUCUAGUCUACAGGGACAAGGCCAACAGUCUAGUCUACAGGGACAAGGCCAACAGUCUAGUCUACAGAGACAAGGCCAACAGUCUAGUCUACAGGGACAAGGCCAACAGUCUAGUCUACAGGGACAAGGCCAACAGUCUAGUCUACAGGGACAAGGCCAACAGUCUAGUCUACAGGGACAAGGCCAACAGUCUAGUCUACAGGGACAAGGCCAACAGUCUAGUCUACAGGGACAAUGCCAACAGUCUAGUCUACAGGGACAAGGCCAACAGUCUAGUCUACAGGGACAAGGCCAACAGUCUAGUCUACAGGGACAAGGCCAACAGUCUAGUCUACAGGGACAAGGCCAACAGUCUAGUCUACAGGGACAAGGCCAACAGUCUAGUCUACAGAGACAAGGCCAACAGUCUAGUAAGGCCAACAGUCUAG